rnacentral:rRNA from 1 species
GAUGAACGCUGGCGGCGUGCCUAAUACAUGCAAGUCGAGCGAACGGACGAGAAGCUUGCUUCUCUGAUGUUAGCGGCGGACGGGUGAGUAACACGUGGAUAACCUACCUAUAAGACUGGGAUAACUUCGGGAAACCGGAGCUAAUACCGGAUAAUAUUUUGAACCGCAUGGGUCAAAAGUAAAAGACGGUCUUGCUGUCACUUAUAGAUGGAUCCGCGCUGCAUUAGCUAGUUGGUAAGGUAAAGGCUUACCAAGGCAACGAUGCAUAGCCGACCUGAGAGGGUGAUCGGCCACACUGGAACUGAGACACGGUCCAGACUCCUACGGGAGGCAGCAGUAGGGAAUCUUCCGCAAUGGGCGAAAGCCUGACGGAGCAACGCCGCGUGAGUGAUGAAGGUCUUCGGAUCGUAAAACUCUGUUAUUAGGGAAGAACAUAUGUGUAAGUAACUGUGCACAUCUUGACGGUACCUAAUCAGAAAGCCACGGCUAACUACGUG